CCUACGGGAGGCAGCAGUGGGGAAUAUUGGACCAAUGGGGGCAACCCCUGAUCCAGCAAUGCCGCGUGUCGUGAAGAAAGGCCUUAAGGGUUGUAAAGCACUUUAGGCUGGGAGGAAGACGUGUAGUUUAAGAGAUAAUACGUUUGACUGUACCGGCAGAAUAAGCACCGGCUAACUCUGUGCCAGCAGCCGCGGUAAUACAGAGGGUGCGAGCGUUAAUCGGAGUUACUGGGCGUAAAGGGCGCGUAGGCGGUUGAUUAAGUGAGAUGUGAAAUCCCUGGGCUUAACCUAGGAACUGCAUCUCAUACUGGUCAGCUAGAGUAUUGUAGAGGGUAGUGGAAUUUCCGGUGUAGCGGUGAAAUGCGUAGAGAUCGGAAGGAACACCAGUGGCGAAGGCGGCUACCUGGACAAAUACUGACGCUGAGGCGCGAAAGCGUGGGGAGCAAAACAGGAUUAGCAUACCCUUGGGUAGUCCACGCUGUAAACGGAUGAAAACUAGAUGUUGGGCAGCAUGACUGUUUAGUAUCGAAGCUAACGCGAUAAGUUUUCCCGCCUGGGGAGUA
rnacentral:rRNA from 1 species